GACGAACGCUGGCGGCGUGCUUAACACAUGCAAGUCGAACGGAAAGGCCCUGCUUUUGUGGGGUGCUCGAGUGGCGAACGGGUGAGUAACACGUGUGUAACCUGUCCUUGACUUUGUGAUAUCUUCAGGAAACUGGGGCUAAUACCGGAUAGGAGCUCCUGCUGCAUGGUGGGGGUUGGAAAGUUUCGGCGGUUGGGGAUGGACUCGCGGCUUAUCAGCUUGUUGGUGGGGUAGUGGCUUACCAAGGCUUUGACGGGUAGCCGGCCUGGGAGGGUGACCGGGCACAAUGGGACUGAGAGACGGAGCAGAAGAGAACGGGAGGCAGCAGGGGGGAAUAUUGCAGAAUGGGGGGAAGCGUGAUGCAGCAACGCCGGGAGCGGGAAGACGGGCUUCGGGGUGUAAACCGCUUUGGCCUGUGACGAAGAGGGAGUGACGGUAAUGGGUAAAGAAGCACCGGCUAACUACGUG
rnacentral:rRNA from 1 species